rnacentral:rRNA from 1 species
CCUACGGGGGGCAGCAGUGAGGAAUAUUGGUCAAUGGACGAGAGGCUGAACCAGCCAAGUCGCGUGCGGGAAGACGGCCCUACGGGUUGUAAACCGCUUUUGUCGGGGAGCAAAGCGAGUCACGUGUGACUCAUUGAGAGUACCCGACGAAAAAGCAUCGGCUAACUCCGUGCCAGCAGCCGCGGUAAUACGGAGGAUGCGAGCGUUAUCCGGAUUUAUUGGGUUUAAAGGGUGCGCAGGCGGAGGUGCAAGUCAGCGGUCAAAUUGCGGGGCUCAACCCCGUACUGCCGUUGAAACUGCAUGCCUUGAGUGCGCGAGAAGUAUGCGGAAUGCGUGGUGUAGCGGUGAAAUGCAUAGAUAUCACGCAGAACUCCGAUUGCGAAGGCAGCAUACCGGCGCGCAACUGACGCUCAUGCACGAAAGCGUGGGUAUCGAACAGGAUUAGAUACCCCAGUAGUC